AAAAGUAGCGCCAAUUCAUUCAUACAAUAACAAACAAGAACAGAUUUAAGGCACAAGAGUUAGAAAUGAACCUCAAAAGAUGACUUCUGUCAAUUAAUUUUUUUUGGCUGGAACGAAUGAUAACGCAAUCGAAAAAAAUACAACAAUUGAAGCUCGAGCAAGAACUGCGAAUCUGUCCGGACAGGACCUCGGACAACAACUCCAACGAUCGAACACCCGUUUCAACUCCAACCCAUUUUGGAAACCAACAUUAAAAGCGACGCCUAAAUUUUCAAUACGUAUCUCAGCGUUUGAAUUCGAAAAUUAAUUUAGACUAGAUUGAAAACUAGAAAAUGAAAAGUUACAGUCAAAAAACAAGACCCAUUUCCCAUGAUUUUUGGAAUGUUUUCACCCUCCCGUUUCCCUCAUUUUUGGACUGAAAAUUAUCACCGGCGCUAGAGAUAGAGGAGUUGUAGGCUGACUGUUGGGUGGUUAGCGGCAUUGCUGGGUAUGUCUAGGUCCGCUAGCUAUGGUUUUUGUUGUUCACGUAUGAAGAAGAUGACGAGGAACAGGGGAGGGGCUGUAUAGUCUGUUGAUGGCUGCUGCUACUGUUCGCUGGUUGUUGUGGAGACGAUGGGGUGGGUGUGUUGUCGGGGGAUGAAGUUGCGACGGCGGGUUGUCGAUGAAGUGAGUCGUGAGUGAGAGUUGAAGAAGCAGCAACGGUUGUUUGGUGUUCUAGGGGUGGGGUGACGAGCUGCUACGGCCGUCGAUGGCUGCUGCCAUGGUGAAGGAGAUGAGUGGUGGUGGAUGGUGGAGGUGGUCGUGUAUGGUUGGUGAUGGUAGCUGGCGGCUUGUAGUCUUAGAUCCUAGGGUUUUGUUGUGUGAGUUACUAAGGAAGGAGAAGGGCAGUCAUGAGAGUGUCUAUUGUUGUCUAGCUAAGGUUUCUCUUGGUU
rnacentral:lncRNA from 1 species